UAAAUCUAAAUAUCUAACCAAAAAAUAUAUAUAAUUUAAGGGUUGUUUGUAACACCCCUAUCCCGUAUCCGUCGCCGGAAUAGGUAAAGGGGCAUUACCGGACUUGAAACUCAUAUCAGAACAGUAAAAAUUUCGAAUAUAUAUAUAUUUUUAAUAAAGAACAUUCCUUUAGGUAAAUACUAAAGACAGUCAGGGAUACAAUUUAACUUUUAUAAGUACAUAUUCAAAAGAUGCCAUUUUCGCAUGGCUUAUAUACAUUAACCAAAAUAUUCGUCGGCCACUGGUCUAUUCUUUACAUGCCAUAAAAUAAUUCAAAACAUAACAAUAACAAGCAGUGGAUAGUGAUUGUGUGACUAGUUGCUGAUGAUCCCCGAGCCUGUAGCUUCCAAAUGAGAUCUAUAAAACAGAGGAAACAAAGUAAACGGAGUAAGCAUUACAAUGCUUAGUAAGUUUUAAGCAGUGUCAACAGAUAACAAUCAAAUUAUAACAUAGUUGUUCGUAUUUUUAUUUCACUCUUCCUUCGGGCAUACCAUCCCUUUACCGAAUAUGCACAUCUCAUCAUAUAUAAUAGGCAGAUAAACUUUCACAUAAAAGUGAGCUCAUGUGACAUAGAUAUAUUGUAUAAUUUCACAUAGCCCUUCACACUGAUCCGAUGUCACAUAAUCAUAGGAAUAGUCUCAUAGAUUGCUCACGUAUGCAUCAUAUAACUACCUUAUGAUUUAGUUCAAAUCAAGCUUACAUAUAAACUUGGAGUACAUACCUGUUCAACCUUUCGUAUUGAAUAUAUUUAUAAGCAAUUCUUAUUGCGAAGUCUUAUAGCUUUAAACUCUACUCAGAUUAUCGGCGAGACCUUUAGCUCAGAUGAAAUCUCCACAAAAAGUCAGCGGGUCUUAACCCAGACAUAAUCACCACAUAUGGUCAUCUGGUCUUUAAUCCCGGGUUUACAUCAUAGAGUUUCAUGCAUAUUUAUUCACAUGUUACAACAUUCACAUCGACUAUCAUAUCUGUAAUUCAUUUACCUCAUCAAAUAUCUAAUAAAACACACCUUCCGCCGUCUGUCAUUUGGCCAUUCGGCCUUAUCACAUAUAUGCAUGUUCACAUUCAUCACAUUGGCCAUUUGGCCUUAUCACACAUAUGCAUGUUCACAUUCAUCACAUUGGCCAUUAGGCCUUAUCUCAUAUAUACACAUUCACAUUCAUCUCAUAAAGUCCUAAAUCAAAAUAUAAAUUUUCAUGUAUUCACAUCACAAUUAUCCAAAUAUACUUCACAUACCACAUAUACUUUCAUGUAUACACUUUGUCUUGGCUGAAUCUACAUCUAUCAUUUUCCAAUGAAUAAUUCAAUUUCAUGCCAUACUAUCAUUUCAUAUUCGAAUACUUAUAAACUUACAAUUUCACAAAUUUUAAUAUCAAAGAUCCAUCUAACACUCAUAUAUCAUUUUACAAUAUCACAAUUUAGAAUUCACGUAUGGGUUUAAUCAAUAGCUUAUGAGCAACUAAAACAAGUUUUAUCCAUGUUUACAACAUAACCACAAAUUCUCUACAAGCUGUUUUCCUGAGCAAUAGUCGUUAAAUUAUUUGUAACUGGGGCUACAAAAUUCCAAAUUAUGUGCCGUUAAUUUUCCAUGAAAAUAGACUCGUAUACCCUCUAUCCACAAAAUUUUCAGAAUUUUUGGUUUGCCCAAUCAAUACCAGAUUUUUCUUAAAGUUUCCCCUAUUUUACUGCUUGACUACUCUGACUACUCUUCACUAAGAAUUUAAUUUCUCAUUGUACCGAAUUCAAAAUAUGUUUUCGUUUAUUUUGUUUGAAACUAGACUCAUUAAGGAGUCUAAGCAUAUAAUUUUAUCUUAUAUUCAUUUUUUUACGAUUUAUAAUGAUUUUCCAAAUACUGAACAGGGGAUUUCGGAGCCAUUCUGACUCUAUCUCACACAACUUUGAAAAUCUCAUUAUCAGCAACCCCUUUACUUACACGAUUUCUUUUAUACAAAACUAGAUUCAUCAAGCUUUAAUUACAUAAUUUAUUCAGCCUUUAACUCAACUCUCACAAUUUAUGGUAAUUUUUCCAAAACACGCUACUGCUGCUGUCCCUAGCAGAUUUAUACAAUUUACUCUGUAAAGUUCUCAUUCACAUAUUUAAAACAUAAUAUCAUAUAUGCCGUCAUUUAGAAAAGUCAUUGACCUUAACGUAUAUACAUAAUUCAUACUCAUCCCGUUUUAAAACUUAAAACUUACAAAGGAAUCAAACUCAAUUACUUAAGAACUUACCUCGAAAAUUGCCGAACGAUUACAGAUUGACUAUUCGGUUAGGUAGCUUUUUCUCUUAUCCGAAUUAGACUCCCUAAGCUCUUGAGCUUGAAUAAACAAAUUGAAUCUAUUACAAACCAAUUAUACAAACUCAUGGCCGAAUAUAACAAGAAGACUAACUAGAUUCUACUAGCCACUCAUUGCUCUAUUAUUAACUUUACUUAAUUAUAAACACAUUCGGCAAUUACCUCAACCUUAUUUAAUACAAUUAACACUAAAUUCCUCAUGUAAAAAGUACCAUUGCCGAAUAUCAUUUAGUUCACCUUAAUCCAUCUCAUGAUCGAAUGCCUUUAAGCUUAAUAUCAUGGUAUCGUAACUCAACAUUUAUCAAUAUGUCAUUAACAAAAUAUGCUCAUGUCAAAUUUACUCCCAAUUACAUCUCAAAAUUCAACAAGCUUAUAACUCAUUUAAUAAUUAAAUUCCAUUUCAAAGUAUCAAAACAUUAUCAAAUGUAUACUCAUCCUAAACGACCGAAUGCACAUUAACUAAGCACUUAACAAUUUUCUUUAGCCAUUGAAUUCAUUCGGCAAUGAUAAGGACAAAUUUAACAAACCUUAAAUUUAACUUAUAAUUGUACAUAUCUCAUUCAAAACAUCCACACCAAUUUAUUAUCCAAUCAACCAUAUCCGAAAACCUAUCAUACAAUUAAAACCCUUGUUCAAAUUAUUAUUCACUAUAAUACUAUGGCCGAAUCCCUCAAUUAGCUAACAUAGCCUCUUGUUUUCAAUCUAAACACGUAUAUACAACCUAAAUCCCUCUUUUAACACAUAAUUCACUAUCUUGGAACUCAUUUCCUAACUAAUUUAACUUAGUCCAAAGCCGAAUGCUAUUUGAGCAUUGAGCUCAUGUUCUUUUCAUUAUUAAGCAAGUAUUAUAACUCAACUAACUUCAUUAGCCGACUACUCAAGCUCAUUUGAGCCACAUAUAGUAAUUUAGUUUGUUUAUACUCAAUUAGAAACAUUUCUCCUUACAAAUUAUCAAAACAUACACAAUGUAACCCAUUGAGCUCAUGAUCGAAUGCUUUAUGCAUCACAAACACAAAAUCACAUACAUGGGUCAUUUUAAGAGCUUUAGAACCAAUUUAAAUUUCUCAAAAUCCAAAGAAAAACAUAUGAAAUCAUACCUUAAUUCCCAACACAAGAUGGCCGAAUGCCUUAGGUGUUCUUUCUUCCAUUUUUCUUUUUCCUUUCCUUAUGGUUUCGGCAAGAUGAAAAAAAAAGAUGAUAGAACUUUGUUUUUAUCACAACUACUUAUAUAAAUUUAUUAUUUCAAUAUAUAAAAAUCAUUUUAUAAUAAAAUGUUUAUUUAUGUCUUUAUUAUACAUAAUUCCCACCAAUUAAAAAUGGAGACAAGAGAACACAUUGUUACAUGCAUGUGUUGGCCGGCCAUUUACAUUCAAAAAUGGUCUAAUUGACAUGCAAGUCCACAUUUUUGAAUACAUGCUCUAUUAGAUCACUUUAUAUAUUUACCUAACCUAUUUUACCAAUGUUUCACAUAAGUCCCGUUUCAAAAUUUCACAUACAAAUGCCAAAAUUAAUGCUUGAAAUUUUUUUACACAUGCAUUUACUCACCUCAUGAACAUAGAAUAUAACUUUCAAUUAUUAAUAAAACUCGGUUUCGUGGUCCCGAAACCACUUUUCGACUAGGGUCAGAUUAGGGGUGUCACAUUGUUUAUUCCAACUUUUAUUUCAUACAACAAUAGUAUAAAAAUAUAAUUCAAAAGAUAAUACAACAUUCCUUUUAUAUAAUCUUUUUUAUUCAUCUUUACAAAAUUUAAACUUACUAAAUUCAUUUGUGAAAAGGGGUCCUAAAAGAAUUUUAUUGAAUAAAAUGAUAUAUUUGAUAUAUGAUUAGUCAUAUAAUCGUGGUUACAUAGAUAUUUUUUAUUCAAUAUCCUUAACAAAAGGUAUAAGAGGAUUGGCCGAACUAACUCAUUUUUUUGAUAGGCGAGUAAUCGAUGGAAUUACAAAUGGAGUAGGCAUUACAAGUUUUUUUGUGGGAGAAAGUGUAAAAUAUCUAAGGGAAGUCGCAUCUCGUUUUAUCUAUUAUUGUAUUUAGUUUAUGUACUCAAUUUUUUAGUAAUUUCUUACUUUAUUUUAUUCUAAUUUUAUGCAAUUUAUAUAUUAAUAUUAUAUUUAUAGAUUUUUAUUUUUUAUUUAUUUUUUAGAAUAUUAAAAAAAUUAAUAAUAAUAAUAAUAAAAGUUGUCACAUCUCAAAAACCAAGUUAGAUGAAAUUGAGUUAGUGAUACCAAGAGUGGUCAUGUCUUGAUUUUGAGUUAUUAUUGUGAAAAUUUUGAUAAGUGAGUUAAUUCGGUUUAGUGGAUAGGUGUAAUGUGAGUAGGUUAGAGGUUUUGUGUUCAAAUCACUUUCCAUGAAUUUUUAGUAAUUUUGUUGUAACCCUUUCCUUAACUAUCCGGCAUAAAUAAUAUUUUCACUCAAUUAAUAACAAGAAUGAGUUUGUUGGUUUAAUGGUUAAGAGUAAGCUUACCUUUUGGUUUUGUGUUCAGAAUCAUCAUAUGUGCAAAGUGAAAAUUAUGUUUUUGUUUUAAAUUUUGAAGAAAAAUAUGUUAAGAUAAGGAUUAGGUAGUGGAGUUGUGGGUAGUUUAAAUUUAUUUUAAUUUUUUAUUUUAUUUUAUUCUCUUAAAAUUAAUAUUAAUAUAAUUAAAAAAUAAUUAUUUUCCCUAAAUUUUCUCCAAGUCUGUACCCACGUUCCCACUUUCUUUUUCAUUAUUCUUUUUGUUUUUUUUUCUUUCUUUUUUUUUAUUCUUUCUGUUUUCUUUCUUUCUUUAUUCUUUCUGUUUUCUUUCUUUCUUUCUUUCUUUUUGGUGUUUAGAUUUGUUUUUGGUUUUCAAAAUGUCUUUUUACAAAUUUGUUUUUCUUCCCAUGACUAUCAUGCAAAAACUUUGUAUUUCCUAGUUUUUAGAUUCGAAUGCAAUGCUUUUGAUGUGUGGGGUCUAUGUGAUUAGGUACAAUUAGGAGAAGAUUGUGAGACAAUCGAUCCUCCGACGAAUUAAAAUCCCUUUUUAAGUUGUUGUUUCGUAUAAGGAUUAAGAGUUUGUUCAUUCGUGAAUCUUCAUCAAAACCAACUCAAGUGUGUGUUUCUAACCCAAAAACAUUGAUUCAAACUCAGAAAAUUUGAAAAAAAAUAGUUAAUUUCAAAUUGCAGUCUGCAUUACACGACUGUAUGCCCAGUCGUGCGAAGCACACAAGCAUGUACAAUUACACUGGCAACUUGGGUAGGCCGUGUGAGGCACAAAAGGUGGUUAGGUAGGUUGUGUGGGCCACACGGGCUGGCUAAUUAGGCCAUGUGAGCCCAUUUUUUAGAAAACUUUCAAUUAGGCUUAUUUGACAUAAAAAUGCGUGAUUAGAUCUUUUGUGGGUUCGUUUGACUUAUAUAAGACCCGAGAUGUGUUAGUUUUCAAUAUGUGUCAGUACAUGAUGUGGUUAAGGCACGUGAAAAUUAUAAAUACGACCUGCGUUCUGGUAACUCUAAAAACGUAAUUAUAUGUUUGAUUACACAUGACAUUUUUAUAUGGAAUAACUGUUAGUACAAGAAAUAAGAUAUGAUACAACUGUAUAAGUUAUGUGUUGUGUUAUGCUCUGUAAAAUAUGUGUUUAGAUAUGUAUGGCAUAACACCUAUGUGUUAUGUAUGUAAGUUAAUAUGAUUUUGUAUUUGCAUUGGGGUAGGUUUUGAUAUGAUGGAGGAAGUGUUUUAUGCCAAUAUUAUUGCUAUUUUAGCGAUUAAACCGUAAUAUUUGUCUAACAGCGCAGUUGCAGCAUUAUGAGUGGCAUACCAUCACGACCCAAUGUGAUUGGAUAAAUGGACUUUGUAGUCCUAUUUAGUGUGAUUGGUUGAACAAAGUUGAUGUGUAGGGGAUGGGAGUAAGAUUUGUUCUGUUCUGAUAUGACAUUAUGAUCCAAUAUAUAUAUUUCUAAAAAUUAUUAGUAUCCGACACGAUAUAUGUUUUUUAUAUGUCAUGUCAACAAAUAAUUUAAAAAUAAUAAAAUAUUCAAAAAAAUAAAAAAAUUAAGAUUAAAAAAGUUCAUAAAAAUUUAAAAUAAUUAGCAUGAAAUACAAGUAAAUUGUUAUGCAAGUUAUCAUGUUUAAACUUUUAACGUUUUAGUAAGUAUUUUUGUUAAAAAAAUUCAACUCUUUUUAUAAGGUUGAUGAUCAACUUCAAAAUUUUUUUUUAAGGCUGGCAUUAUGCCUUAAAUUAAACCUGCAGUCGAUUCGGAAGUAGUUAACAUUAGAAAUAUUAAAUGAAAACGUACCUUCGGUGUUUAUGGCGGAGGCCCUUGCAUUCAUUCAGGGUAUUCAAUUAGGUUUGGAUCUGGGGUUUACGACAAUCGAAGUUGAAGGUGAUGCCGUUUUUGUUGUCAAAAUACUACAAAAAGGAUGGGAUGAAUCAGAAAUUUGUGCUUAUAUUAGAGAUGGGCAAAGGGCUGAGUAAAGGAUUUCAAACCUGUCAGUUCAAACAUGGCCACUGAUUGAUGAAUGCUGUUGUUGAUUUGCUGGCUAUAGAAGGUUUGACGAAAGGGGAUCAAAGCUUGAUGAGAAAUGGGAUUUCUGAAUAUGCUGAAGAAAAGGUGAAAAGUGAUCGUAAAGGGAUAAUGCUGAUGGACUAAGUUGUUCGCUUAGAUUGGGAAACCAGGGGGAGAAAAAGCAUCUAGAGAGGAGAGUAGCAAUGGAAGAUGGAAGGUUUUUAAGAAUUUGGAAAAAGAAAAGAUUAAUUAAUGAGGGGUUUCUAUCUAGUUGUUGGUCCUCAGGAGUUGCGUCCAAUUAAUUGUUUUGGCUGGUGGCUUGGAUGCUUAUAGAGCAAGCUCCUUCCCUUGCUAGAUUAUAGGGUUGAUUGGGUUGGCUCAAUUUUAAUUGAUUAGCUGGUUUGUUGUUUGGGUUUUAUUUAAAUGAAUAAAAUGUCAUUUGAUAUUUAAAAAAGAAAAACAAAUAUAAUUUGUAAAUAUUGUAGAUAUAUUUCUCUAAAAUCACCAAAAUUAUCAAUUAUAUUAGAUGCAUUUGUUACAAAUGUAGAUACUGCU
rnacentral:lncRNA from 1 species